rnacentral:rRNA from 1 species
UAAGACGAACCGUGCGAACGUUAUUCGGAAUCACUGGGCUUAAAGCGCGUGUAGGCGGGUCGGAACGUCGGUCGCUGAAAUCCCCCGGCUCAACCGGGGAAGGGGCGCCGAUACGACCGACCUGGAGCGACGUAGGGGGGACUGGAACUUCCGGUGGAGCGGUGAAAUGCGUUGAGAUCGGAAGGAACGCCCGUGGCGAAAGCGAGUCCCUGGACGUCGGCUGACGCUGAGACGCGAAAGCCAGGGGAGCGAACGGGAUUAGAUACCCCGGUAGUCCUGGCCGUAAACGAUGGGCACUGGGUAGGGGGCUCGCCGAUGGGCUCCCUGCCGUAGGGAAACCGUGAAGUGCCCCGCCUGGGGAGUAUGGUCGCAAGGCUG